UACAGAGGGGGGCCAGCGUUAUCCGGAUUCAUUGGGUUUAAAGGGUGCGUAGGCGGACUGAUAAGUCAGUGGUGAAAUCUCUCGGCUUAACCGAGAAACUGCCAUUGAUACUGUCAGUCUAGAGUAUAGAUGACGUUGGCGGAAUAUGACAUGUAGUGGUGAAAUACUUAGAUAUGUCAUAGAACACCGAUUGCGAAGGCAGCUAACGAAACUAUAACUGACGCUGAGGCACGAAAGUGCGGGGAUCAAACAGGG
rnacentral:rRNA from 1 species